rnacentral:rRNA from 1 species
GGUCUUCGGACGCUGACGAGUGGAGAACGGGUGAGUAAUACAUCGCGAACGUGCCCAGUCGUGGGGGAUAACUACUCGAAAGAGUAGCUAAUACCGCAUACGAUCUGAGGAUGAAAGCGGGGGACCUUCGGGCCUCGCGCGAUUGGAGCGGCCGAUGGCAGAUUAGGUAGUUGGUGGGAUAAAAGCUUACCAAGCCGACGAUCUGUAGCUGGUCUGAGAGGACGACCAGCCACACUGGGACUGAGACACGGCCCAGACUCCUACGGGAGGCAGCAGUGGGGAAUUUUGGACAAUGGGCGAAAGCCUGAUCCAGCAAUGCCGCGUGCAGGAUGAAGGCCUUCGGGUUGUAAACUGCUUUUGUACGGAACGAAAAAGCUCCUUCUAAUACAGGGGGCCCAUGACGGUACCGUAAGAAUAAGCACCGGCUAACUACGUGCCAGCAGCCGCGGUAAUACGUAGGGUGCGAGCGUUAAUCGGAAU